rnacentral:rRNA from 1 species
UACGGGGGGAGCAAGCGUUGUUCGGAUUUACUGGGCGUAAAGGGCGCGUAGGCGGCCACCGCAAGUCGGUUGUGAAAUCUCUGGGCUUAACCCAGAAAGGUCAACCGAUACUGCGGGGCUAGAGUGCAGAAGGGGCAACUGGAAUUCUCGGUGUAGCGGUGAAAUGCGUAGAUAUCGAGAGGAACACCUGCGGCGAAGGCGGUUACCUGGACAGUUACUGACGCUCAGGCACGAAAGCAUGGGGAGCAAAAGGG